rnacentral:rRNA from 1 species
UAAGGAAUAUUGGACAAUGGAGGCAACUCUGAUCCAGCCAUGCCGCGUGAAGGAAGAAGGCGCUACGCGUUGUAAACUUCUUUUGUAACAGAGAAAACCCUCUUACGUGUAAGAGGCUGAUAGUAUGUUAAGAAUAAGCAUCGGCUAACUUCGUGCCAGCAGCCGCGGUAAGACGAAGGAUGCAAGCGUUAUCCGGAUUCAUUGGGUUUAAAGGGUGCGUAGGCGGAUAUAUAAGUCAGUGGUGAAAUCUCUCAGCUUAACUGAGAAACUGCCAUUGAUACUGUGUAUCUUGAGUACAGAUGAUGUUGGCGGAAUAUGACAUGUAGCGGUGAAAUGCAUAGAUAUGUCAUAGAACACCGAUUGCGAAGGCAGCUGACAAAACUGUAACUGACGCUGAGGCACGAAAGUGCGGGGAUCAAACAGG